UUUUCCAGUUAGGUUUCCAUCUGCUAAAGAAAACUCACAGUUUACUAGAGGCCUAGCUAUUGUCAAGCUAAGGUUGUUUUUCCUUCUAACAAAGCAUUAUCAUUAAAACAUAUCCCACCUGGGGGUGGGGGAGGGAGGGUUGUUAGCUUAUCCUUUGCCCUCAUUUUGCCUUACACUCCCUCAUCAACAGGAUGCCUCCAUAUUUAGUUAUACAUUAUUCUGAAUCUGUCUGUGAGGAUGUUUUAGGAUGAGAUUAAUAUCUGUGUUGGGGGACUGAGUAAAGUCCUCAUUCAGGUGGGCCUCAUCCAGUCAAAAGAAGGCCUGAAUAGAAAAAAAGGGUGAAUAAGAGAGAAUUUGCUCUCUCUCUCUGCC